CCUCUGCAAGUGGAGUCCCAGAAGCUGGCACCACGUAUAUUUUUGGAUUGGAGUUUCUACAUGCUCGCUGCCUCGCCACGCCAUGCCACCAGCUCUGGAUUCAUCCAGCCACCUCCCACUCCCCUCAACCUUGCCAACCAAACCAACUUACUCUGUGUCCAUAAAGAUUAAUUAAAUCUUGUUACAUCUUCAA